ACUCGCGGGUGUGAACAAACCAUUCCUUGCGCGCCGCGCGUCUAGCGGCUGGCGUGGGCGUCUGCAGCACCCAUUGGACACAAACCCCGAAACCCUAGACUCCAAUCCUCCUUCGCCGCAUCCCUCGCUACCUCGUCCGCCGCCGCACCCUCUUUCCCCUCCUCUCUCUUCAGCGUCCUUCCUCUUUUUCCUUCCGGGUCUCUCUUGCCCGCUCCUUGUUGUUGCUGUGCCGGGGAACCACCACGGCCGCACCGCCGGAUGAAGCCACCAUCCGCGGCGCUGUUCCGUUGCCUUGGAUCCGUGCAGGGGGCCUCCCCGGGGUAGCAGAGGAGGCAGUUGGACGAGGAGGCGCGAGGCGAGCAGGAAGUUGGGGUCGCCGGAGGAGCACAGCCGCACGGGGGCUGGUCUUCGCCAGAGCAGAGUGAAGGAGGUAGAUGUAGGGGGACGCAACUCGGCUCCCAAGCAGAGGAUGCAGCAUCGCCGGCUCCUCUCCCCAUGUCGCCGCUGUCCUACGUCUUCGCUGCCGCCACGGCCUUGCUCGCCACUGACCUCCCGAGUGCUUCUCUCCCCUGCAUUCCCCUUUCCACGAAUUCUUGCCUUCAACGCUAAGUUUAUUCUUCCUGCUGCUAAGUCUUAGUCCUCACGGCGGGGUGGAGGAGCAGGGACGGCCUGUAGGCUGGCGGCAGGGGGGUGGAGCAACGAUGUCGAAGCUUUAGGCGGCGCAUGCAUGGCAGGGUGGAGGAGAGGUCUGUGUGAGGCUGCAAGAGGGGCUCGAUUGUGGGAUUUUAUCUCCCCAUGUCAAGCACGCCGGUGAAGACGGAAGGAAGCCAUGGGAGGCGGGAGCUCCUCUCUGCCUUGGAGCAGAAUCCUGGCGGAUGGGUUUUGGUUCAGACAGAAGAGCUCCAGGCUUUGGAACUUUUUGGGAUAACUAAGUUGGUCGAUGUCACUCGAGAAAAUGGAAAAGGAGAAGGAAAUCGUCAUUAAAUUUAUGAUUGGGCGUAGGUCCAUGGACAUUGUCAGAACUUUAUUCCAGUAUAUUGUUUCCAGAUCUCAUGUUUAUUCAAGUCACCAAGGUUGGAGACACUGGCGUGAAGAUGUCGUGAGUUAUCUGUAAGGGCAUUGUGGUGGCGUGCUCCUCCAUUUCUCCUGCGAGUUCUUCGUGUGGCAGUCAUGGCCCCAUAAGCAGCGCUUCAAGGUGGCUGCAGGUAAAGUUGUCAAGUCGAUCUGGUGCUUGCUCGAGCCGUUGAUUACUGCUGCUUUGCUAAGGUUCAAGGUCUUACUUCAGUAGAAAUUUAUUCCAAUGCUUGCUCAAUCCUUUUUCCAUGAUGACUACCAGAGGAACCUUCGAUGUGUACAGAUGGUAAUGGAUAUGGGGACUGACAAGAACUAGCGAACUUGAUAUCAGAUGCCCUGAACUAUCAAUUCUUUAAUUAUUGGAGGCUUUUGUAUUGAUAUAUCAAUACAAGGUGGGAUAAGAUGCAGGUGAAUGCCUUUAUUUUGUUUCUUUACGAUCUUCUCCUCUAUUUGAUGAUAGAUGCAAAAAAAUAUCGUGUGGCACUGGCUUUCUAAUUACAUACUCCCCCCGUAAAGAAAUAUAAGAGCAUUUGGAUUCAAACGCUUUUAUAUUUCUUUACAGAGGAGUACAAACUAAAUGUGGAGAAGUACUCCCUUUGUCUCAAAAUUCUUGUCUUAGAUUUGUCUAGAUACGGGUGUAUCUAACACUAAAACGUAACUAGAUACAUCCGUAUUUAGACAAAUAUAAGACAAGAAUUUUGGGACGGAGGGAGUAUAUAUGUUUAUUAUCUGGUAAGUGAACUGAAUCACCUUGGUAUAGAAAUCCUAUCCGCUUUUGUCGGAGGCACUGUAAUAAUCUGAAGGAAGCCUUUUUUAUUUCCAAGUUGAUCAACUACACAACUUCUGAUCAUAAAUCCUUUCUUUAAGGGGGGCUGGUCAAUACAGGUCUAUAUUGUGUUAUCUUGCUAUUGGGCUCUUUUUUAUUUUCUUAAAAUGGUCAGAUAUCACUCAUGUUUAAUUCGUGGUUGACUGCGUAUAUCCAAAAUAAUUAUGUUAGUACACUGACGUUAAUUUCUACAUUUUUACCGAAGUUGGCUAAAUAGUUUUUUGUGCUACUGAGAUAUAUAUGUGCUCUAAAUAGUUUUUUGUGCUACUCAGAAGUAAUUUAGUAUAGAUGUUUUUAUAGGAAUUGGUUGUUUAACCCUCUCAUAUAGCCAGUUCGGAUUAGUGGUUCAGGUUAGCACUCCUGUGUGUAUAGUUGAUAUCACAUAUGCUAAUGAUUCUGGUUGUAAGUUCAGAGGUAAUUUAUUAUACAUGUUUUGACAGGAAGUCGAAAGAAGUGCUAAUACCUUGUCAACUUUUGGUAAUUUUCCCUGUGAUUAAGCUUGUGCCUAGCUGACUUGUAAGGUUCCGCACAUUUAAGCCUGGUCAGGCUUUCCUCACACAUGUACUCUUAUUUGAUUGCACACUUCUUUUGGUUAUUAAUUUGUUACCAAGGAACCAUGGCACAGUAAUGUGCUUCAAGUUUUCCAUAUGAAUAAGAACUAUACUCUUUUUCUGCGAUUUUAAAGCAUUUCCAGACCUAUCAAGGCCAAGGUGCUAGCCAAUUUUAAUUUCAUCCUUAUGAGGAUGAAUCGACAAGUGUUCACGAAAGGGUGAAGGUGAAUAACAAGGGCACCGCUCUCUGUUGAUGCACACCCAUGGUUUGCUUGCCACGAUGCAACGACAAGAUGUUCUCGAUAGGAUCAUCCUGACCAUUAGGUUCCUCGUGUUCUCCUUGGCGGUUCUGUAUGUUGUCUCAAGACGUAUUGGCCUGUUGACACUGCAAAGGAAGUUGGUUGAUGCAAUCAGAUCAAGCUCAGUAUCAGCUGGAGACAUCUUGGAUGAAGUGCAGGAGGGACCUUCCACAGCAAAUGCUCCUCCCAUCUGAUGAACUGUGAUUUUACUUCCAUCCAUUGUUUAUACAUACAUGAGCUUACAUCCGGAAGUAAGCUUACCUGUCAGUUAUUAUUUCGUAGUACAUGUUGUCUAAAGUCACAUUUGAUGAGUGUUGUUUUUAAGUACAGUACUAAAAGCUAUAUUCAGUUG